rnacentral:rRNA from 1 species
AAUCAACGCUGGCGGCGUGCCUAACACAUGCAAGUCGGACGUGAAAGGGGUUUCGGCCCUGAGUAGCGUGGCGGACGGGUGAGGAACGCGUGGGUGACCUGCCCUGCAGAGGGGGAUAACCCUCCGAAAGGGGGGCUAAUACCGCAUGAGCCCGAGAGGGGAAAGACGGUGAGUCGCUGCGGGAGGGGCCUGCGUCCGAUUAGCUGGUUGGUGGGGUAAGAGCCCACCAAGGCGACGAUCGGUAGCCGGUCUGAGAGGACGGACGGCCACACUGGGACUGAGAUACGGCCCAGACUCCUACGGGAGGCAGCAGUGGGGAAUUUUGGGCAAUGGGCGAAAGCCUGACCCAGCAACGCCGCGUGGAGGAAGAAGGCCUUCGGGUUGUAAACUCCUGUCCCGAGGGACGAAGUAGGUGACGGUACCUUGGGAGGAAGCCCCGGCUAACUCCGUGCCAGCAGCCGCGGUAAACGUACUCGUA